ACGCACGCUGGCGGCGUGCUUAACACAUGCAAGUCGAACGGAAAGGCCCCUUUGGGGGUACUCGAGUGGCGAACGGGUGAGUAACACGUGAGUAACCUGCCCUUGACUUCGGGAUAACUUCAGGAAACUGGGGCUAAUACCGGAUAGGAAUCCUUGCUGCAUGGUGGGGGUUGGAAAGCUUCGGCGGUUUUGGAUGGACUCGCGGCUGAUCAGCUUGUUGGUGGGGUAGUGGCUUACCAAGGCUUUGACGGGUAGCCGGCCUGAGAGGGCGACCGGCCACAUUGGGACUGAGAUACGGCCCAGACUCCUACGGGAGGCAGCAGUGGGGAAUAUUGCACAAUGGGCGGAAGCCUGAUGCAGCAACGCCGCGUGCGGGAUGACGGCCUUCGGGUUGUAAACCGCUUUCAGCAGGGGCGAAGCUUGUGGUGACGGUACCUGCAGAAGAAGCACCGGCUAACUACGUG
rnacentral:rRNA from 1 species